rnacentral:lncRNA from 1 species
GUUGCUUGACUGAGCUCUACUCUACUGGAAGAGUGAAAGAAUUGCUUGCACAAGGUGUGCAACAAAGCCGAUACCAUGAAAAAACUCCCGAACAGGUAAAUCUGAACCCUGCUCGCAACUUGCCCUGCUUGUCCGUAAUUGCUGAGCACAUGGCCAAUUCACACAUGCAGAACACUUAUGUGGAAAAGUUUUAAAUAUUUUCAGUUGCUAAUUACUCACACAGGAGUAUUUCAAUAUCUUGCAUUUGCUAACUAUCUAUGUUUCUGUUGCUCUUUAAUAUGUUAAUAUAAUACUUAAUCCUGUUUUACACAGUAAUUCUCUAGUUGUUUCGAACCUUUGGUGGUUUUCCCAUAUUGGGCUGUGUUUAUAUAUUUUAAAACACAGAUGUAGUUGAUUUCGGUGCAGUAACUUUUUUUUGAAAAUACGGUGCAGUAACUUUUCGCUUUACUAAUAUUUAGAGUAAACCUCACUUUCAUCUAUGUUCUGCACAUUCAUUUAAUUGUAGAGCUUAAUUGGGAUAUUUAAUACAACAAUUAAACAUUUUGAUUACUGGUGCUAAUGAUGCAGCCACUCUAAUUCCUGCAGGAAAGACUUGAGAGGAGAAGGCAGAUGCCUUACCAUAUGCAUAUAAACCUGGAGCUUCUGGAAGCCACUCACUUGAUUUGUGCGAUGCUGAUUGAAGUUCCCAAUAUGGCUGCUAGUACGUAUGACAAGCGGAGGCCUAUGAGCAAAACAUUUCGCAGGCUUCUCGAUGUGAGUGAAAGGCAGACUUUUGUUGGGCCUCCAGAAAAUGUGAGGGACCAUGUAAUGGCUGCCACAAGAGCCCUCAACAAGGGUGACCACCAAAGGGCGUUCAGUGUCAUAAGUUCGCUGGAGACCUGGAAGCUUCUGAGGAACAGGGAGCAUGUACUUGAGAUGCUGGAGCUUAAGAUAAAGGAGGAAGCCCUUAGAACCUAUCUCUUCUCAUACUCCUCUUGCUACGAGUCCUUGAGCCUUAACCAGCUCAUCACCAUGUUUGAUCUUAGUGAGCAGCAUGCUCACAGCAUCGUUAGCAAGAUGAUGAUGCAUGAAGAGCUUCAUGCUAGCUGGGACCAACCAACAAAGUGUAUCGUUUUCCACAGUGUGGAUCAAACUAGGCUUCAGGGGCUACUCUUCCAGAUGGCAGAUAAGCUCUCGGUCCUGGUGGAGAGCAAUGAGAGGGCAUAUGAAGCAAGAACUGGUGGUACUCUUGAGGGUAUACCGCCCAGGCGCAGGGGUGACGGUCAGGACUCAUCCAAUUUGGGGAGGUGGCAGGAUAACUUUGUGUCGUCACAAGGGAGGCAGGGUGGUGGCAACCGGUCUGGAUAUGCUGGCAGAGGUGGAGGUCAGGGUGGUGGAUAUCAGAGGGACAGGGGAAACCAGGGUUCCCGUGGUGGCUACGGUGGCGGUUCACGGUACCAGGAUGGAAGGGGUCGCAACCAGUCUGGUUCCUCGGCAAGAGGUGGUGAUGGUGGUGCACGCAUGGUGAGCCUUAACAGGGCUGGUAGAGUUUAGUAGUGAUAAAUUUCAGCUCAAGGUUU